GUGUUCACGGCAGCACAUAUACUAAAAUUGGAAUGACACAGAGAAGAUUACCAUGGCCCCUGUGCAAGAACGACAUGCAAAUUUGUGAAGCAUUCCACAUUUUU
ensembl:snRNA U6 U6 spliceosomal RNA